rnacentral:rRNA from 1 species
AUUGAACGCUGGCGGCAGGCCUAACACAUGCAAGUCGAGCGGAGCGGCGGACGGGUGAGUAAUGCCUAGGAAUCUGCCUGGUAGUGGGGGAUAACGUCCGGAAACGGGCGCUAAUACCGCAUACUAUCAGAUGAGCCUAGGUCGGAUUAGCUAGUUGGUGGGGUAAAGGCCUACCAAGGCGACGAUCCGUAACUGGGCUGAGAGGAUGAUCAGUCACACUGGAACUGAGACACGGUCCAGACUCCUACGGGAGACAGCAGUGGGGAAUAUUGCACAAUGGGCGCAAGCCUGAUGGAGCCAUGCCGCGUGUAUGAAGAAGGCCUUCGGGUUGUAAAGUACUUUCAGCGAGGAGGCGUUACUCGCAGAAGAAGCACAGGAUAACUCCGUGCCAGCAGACGCGGUAAUAC